rnacentral:rRNA from 1 species
GUCGAACGGCAGCACGGGUGCUUGCACCUGGUGGCGAGUGGCGAACGGGUGAGUAAUACAUCGGAACAUGUCCUGUAGUGGGGGAUAGCCCGGCGAAAGCCGGAUUAAUACCGCAUACGAUCUAUGGAUGAAAGCGGGGGACCUUCGGGCCUCGCGCUAUAGGGUUGGCCGAUGGCUGAUUAGCUAGUUGGUGGGGUAAAGGCCUACCAAGGCGACGAUCAGUAGCUGGUCUGAGAGGACGACCAGCCACACUGGGACUGAGACACGGCCCAGACUCCUACGGGAGGCAGCAGUGGGGAAUUUUGGACAAUGGGCGAAAGCCUGAUCCAGCAAUGCCGCGUGUGUGAAGAAGGCCUUCGGGUUGUAAAGCACUUUUGUCCGGAAAGAAAUCCUUGGCUCUAAUACAGUCGGGGGAUGACGGUACCGGAAGAAUAAGCACCGGCUAACUACGUGCCAGCAGCCGCGGUAAUACGUAGGGUGCAAGCGUUAAUCGGAAUUACUGGGCGUAAAGCGUGCGCAGGCGGUUUGCUAAGACCGAUGUGAAAUCCCCGGGCUCAACCUGGGAACUGCAUUGGUGACUGGCAGGCUAGAGUAUGGCAGAGGGGGGUAGAAUUCCACGUGUAGCAGUGAAAUGCGUAGAGAUGUGGAGGAAUACCGAUGGCGAAGGCAGCCCCCUGGGCCAAUACUGACGCUCAUGCACG